rnacentral:rRNA from 1 species
CCUACGGGGGGCAGCAGUGGGGAAUAUUGGACAAUGGGCGAAAGCCUGAUCCAGCCAUGCCGCGUGUGUGAAGAAGGCCUUCGGGUUGUAAAGCACUUUCAGUGGGGAAGAAAGCCUUGGGGCUAAUACCCUCGAGGAAGGACAUCACCCACAGAAGAAGCACCGGCUAACUCCGUGCCAGCAGCCGCGGUAAUACGGAGGGUGCGAGCGUUAAUCGGAAUUACUGGGCGUAAAGCGCGCGUAGGCGGUCUGAUAAGCCGGUUGUGAAAGCCCCGGGCUCAACCUGGGAACGGCAUCCGGAACUGUCAGGCUAGAGUGCAGGAGAGGUAGGUAGAAUUCCCGGUGUAGCGGUGAAAUGCGUAGAGAUCGGGAGGAAUACCAGUGGCGAAGGCGGCCUUCUGGACUGACACUGACGCUGAGGUGCGAAAGCGUGGGUAGCAAACAGGAUUAGAUACCCGUGUAGUC